rnacentral:misc_RNA from 1 species
GUGAAUCAUCGAAUUUUUGAACGCAAAUUGCACUCUCUGGUAUUCCGGAAAGUAUGCCUGUUUGAGGGCCAGUUAAAUUAAAAUUGGUGUUGUUGGCGCCUUUCGUGGUUAAGCGUCGGAAUUGAGUUGUUUUACCCUUGGUUAAGUGAACUAAAAUUUUGCCUGAAUUUUUUUCGAAUGUAUAUAAAUUAUGUACGUUAGAGUUGUGGAAUCGUUUAC